UAGGGAAUCUUCCGCAAUGGGCGAAAGCCUGACGGAGCAACGCCGCGUGAGUGAUGAAGGUCUUCGGAUCGUAAAACUCUGUUAUUAGGGAAGAACAUAUGUGUAAGUAACUAUGCACGUCUUGACGGUACCUAAUCAGAAAGCCACGGCUAACUACGUGCCAGCAGCCGCGGUAAUACGUAGGUGGCAAGCGUUAUCCGGAAUUAUUGGGCGUAAAGCGCGCGUAGGCGGUUUUUUAAGUCUGAUGUGAAAGCCCACGGCUCAACCGUGGAGGGUCAUUGGAAACUGGAAAACUUGAGUGCGGAAGAGGAAAGUGGAAUUCCAUGUGUAGCGGUGAAAUGCGCAGAGAUAUGGAAGAACACCAGUGGCGAAGGCGGCUUUCUGGUCUGUAACUGACGCUGAUGUGCGAAAGCGUGGGGAUCAAACAGG
rnacentral:rRNA from 1 species